AGAGUUUGAUCCUGGCUCAGGACGAACGCUGGCGGCGUGCCUAACACAUGCAAGUCGAGCGAUGAAACCCUUCGGGGUGGAUUAGCGGCGGACGGGUGAGUAACACGUGGGUAACCUGCCUCAAAGAGGGGGAUAGCCUCCCGAAAGGGAGAUUAAUACCGCAUAACAUUAGUUUUUCGCAUGGGAAACUAAUUAAAGGAGCAAUCCGCUUUGAGAUGGACCCGCGGCGCAUUAGCUAGUUGGUGAGGUAACGGCUCACCAAGGCGACGAUGCGUAGCCGACCUGAGAGGGUGAUCGGCCACAUUGGAACUGAGACACGGUCCAGACUCCUACGGGAGGCAGCAGUGGGGAAUAUUGCACAAUGGGCGAAAGCCUGAUGCAGCAACGCCGCGUGAGUGAUGAAGGCCUUCGGGUUGUAAAGCUCUGUCUUUUGGGACGAUAAUGACGGUACCARAGGAGGAAGCCACGGCUAACUACGUGCCAGCAGCCGCGGUAAUACGUAGGUGGCGAGCGUUGUCCGGAUUUACUGGGCGUAAAGGGAGCGUAGGCGGAUAUUUAAGUSAGAUGUGAAAUACCCGAGCUUAACUUGGGUGCUGCAUUUSAAACUGGAUAUCUAGAGUGCAGGAGAGGARARUGGAAUUCCUAGUGUAGCGGUGAAAUGCGUAGAGAUUAGGAAGAACACCAGUGGCGAAGGCGAUUCUCUGGACCGUAACUGACGCUGAGGCAUGAAAGCGUGGGUAGCAAACAGGAUUAGAUACCCUGGUAGUCCACGCCGUAAACGAUGAGUACUAGGUGUAGGAGGUAUCGACCUUCUGUGCCGCAGUUAACACAAUAAGUACUCCGCCUGGGAAGUACGAUCGCAAGAUUAAA
rnacentral:rRNA from 1 species